rnacentral:rRNA from 1 species
UGCAAGUCGAACGUGAAAGCACUUCGGUGUGAGUAGAGUGGCGGACGGGUGAGUAACGCGUGGGAAUCUGCCCAGUAGUGGGGGACAACUACCGGAAACGGUAGCUAAUACCGCAUACGCCCUAUGGGGGAAAGGCUUCGGCCGCUAUUGGAUGAGCCCGCGUCAGAUUAGCUAGUUGGUAGGGUAAAGGCCUACCAAGGCAACGAUCUGUAGCUGGUCUGAGAGGACGAACAGCCACACUGGGACUGAGACACGGCCCAGACUCCUACGGGAGGCAGCAGUGGGGAAUAUUGGACAAUGGGGGCAACCCUGAUCCAGCAAUGCCGCGUGUGUGAAGAAGGCCCGAGGGUUGUAAAGCACUUUCAAUUGUGAAGAAGGGUUGAUAGUUAAUAGCUAUCAACUUUGACGUUAACUUUAGAGGAAGCACCGGCUAACUCUGUGCCAGCAGCCGCGGUAAUACAGAGGGUGCGAGCGUUAAUCGGAAUUACUGGGCGUAAAGCGCGCGUAGGCGGUUUAGUAAGUUGGAUGUGAAAGCCCCGGGCUCAACCUGGGAUGGU